AGUCCUAAUGUCAUCGAUUCGAAAGUAAACGCAAUUUCUUUAUCCUAAACAAGAGUUCUUACUUUGUCAUUUUCUUUUAAAUACGAAAUUACUUAGUAAGAAUAAUGGAAAUUGGUUUGUCUCAAGUCGACGACAUCAAGGCAACAACGACGUUUCGAAAGGACCUUUUAAUCACCUCACGAAAUUUCAAGGAUAAUAAUUCGAAGCACAUGCCUUCCACUAAUGGGGUCGGUGUGUAGGUAUUACAAUCGCAUUAAUCUCACAACACUGAUUUAGAUAAUUAUGUACACGUCAUUUAACUGCAUAUAAACGUACAAAAAGGAUUAAAACUAACCAUCGAAUCGUUGGUAAUCGUCUCGGGAGCGUCUCACUCUCUCUUUCCGGUCUCGAAACUUCCUUUUCUUCCGUUUCUCUUUACGCUCCUGUUCAAUCCGGCGCUCGUACGAGUCGCUCGUUUUAGCGCGAACUUAUAUAAAUUGUUUUCUCGCGUGAAACAAACGCUGUACAUUUUUGAUAAGAAGUUUAUGCAGGUGUCUGAUACGGAGAAGACGUUAAAGCAAAAUCGUGGAUUAUCUUCUCCCUACAAACACGUGUACCACGUUCCCAGGUUUUAUGCGAAAUUAAUUUCUACAGAAACGAUGCAUUCUUUACAAGACUCUGGCAAAUAAUAUACAGAAU
rnacentral:misc_RNA from 1 species